GACGAACGCUGGCGGCGUGCUUAACACAUGCAAGUCGAACGGUGAAGCUCCAGCUUGCUGGAGUGGUUCAGUGGCGAACGGGUGAGUAACACGUGAGCAACCUGCCCCUGACUCUGGAAUAAGCGCUGGAAACGGCGUCUAAUACUGGAUACGAGAAGGGUCCGCAUGGGCACUUUCUGGAAAGUUUUUCGGUUGGGGAUGGGCUCGCGGCCUAUCAGCUUGUUGGUGAGGUAAUGGCUCACCAAGGCGACGACGGGUAGCCGGCCUGAGAGGGCGACCGGCCACACUGGGACUGAGACACGGCCCAGACUCCUACGGGAGGCAGCAGUGGGGAAUAUUGCACAAUGGGCGAAAGCCUGAUGCAGCGACGCCGCGUGAGGGAUGACGGCCUUCGGGUUGUAAACCUCUUUCAGCAGGGAAGAAGCGAAAGUGACGGUACCUGCAGAAGAAGCACCGGCUAACUACGUG
rnacentral:rRNA from 1 species